UACGUGAGGGGCGAGCGUUGCUCGGAAUUACUGGGCGUAAAGGGCAUGUAGGCGGUGGUGCAAGCAGAAUGUGAAAGACCGAGGCUUAACUUCGGAUGUGCGUUCUGAACUGCGCGACUAGGAUCUGGUGGAAGGCGGUGGAAUUUCCUGUGUAGCGGUGGAAUGCAUAGAUAUGGGAAGGAACACCAAAGGCGAAGGCAGCCGUCUAUGCCGAGAUCGACGCUGAGGUGCGAAAGUGUGGGGAUCAAAUAGG
rnacentral:rRNA from 1 species